UUGUGCUUCUUUUAACUACAUAUAUUUAAUGAUAUCUUUUGCAUUUCUAAUACAAACAAUGUCAGACUUUGCACUGCACUUACAUGUGCCUGUAGCAAGACACGCGUCAAGCAAACACACACACACACACAGACAGACAGACGUUCCUGCAAUUUAUAGAUAGAAGAUAUCGGUCAUUUUCCUCCAAACAAUGGCUCUUGCGGCCUAUUCACAAAACCACCUCUCAUCGUCCAACUGCAUCCCUGAACUAUGGUCAAACCGUAUUUUGUCAUCACGUCAACACACCCUUUCACAGCAUGCCAAUUUGCUCCACCUCUGUCCCCUUCCCCAAUCCUCCCAACUAAUCCCAAAACAACGUCAUCUGAAAUAGCCCUGCUCAGCACUUGAUCGCUAAGUAAUAAUAGAAUAUAGAAUAGAAUAGAAUGCCUUUUAUUGUCCCUAUACACAUGUACGAGAUUAAAAGCAACUUCUUUUUCAGUGUACUGCAUGCAAAAUAAAUAGAGCAACAUGGAAUAAAAUAAGAAGUGCAAGAAAAGAAAAAGCAGGGAUAAGGUUCGUAGUUUUGAGACGCUAUAUACAUAUAUAAAAUAAAUAAAUAUAGUUUUAUAUACAGUGUGAUAUGCAGUGUGGAGGAAUGAUAUUGCACAGUAUACAGAUAUUGCACAGUAACAGACUUGCAAAGAAUUUCAAUAUUAUAAAUAGUAUUAAAUAUUACAUAUUGCACAGUAGGUGGGUAGAAGGAGGGGUUUGGGGGUUAGACUGUGAAGUCUGUGCAUGUGUGAGUUCAAAGUGGUUAUGGCUUUU